AUGGCGGCCGGGCUGGGGCCGGGGCUGCUGGCCUUGGCCUUGGCCUUGUGGCCGGCAGGGCUCUGGGCACAGCCGAGGCUGCAGGAGGCCGGCGGAGGGCAGCGAGCGCCCGGGGACUCCGUCACCCUCUCCUGCCGUGCAUACGGAUUCACCUUUCGGAAUUAUGCAAUUUUUUUUUACCGUCAGGCACCCGGAGGCAGCCUGGAGUGGGUGUCCUUUAUUAGUUAUGAUCCGACAAUUUUUCAUUUUGACCAGUCAAUGCAGGGGCGGGCCACGAUUUCCCGGGACAAUUCCCGGUCCGAGGCUUAUCUCUCACUGCCGUCCCUGCAAGCUCAGGACUCUGCCCGGUACUUCUGUGCCAUCACACGGGGACAGGAAACCCAGCUGAGCUUUAACACAAACCAGGUCUGGCCUGGCACAGCACCCACAAUAUUUGGAGAUGGUGAAUUCCAAAGUGGUUCAGGGCUGUUCCUGAGAAAUCAGGGGCCAUCCUCAUGCAGCAGAAGUGAUCCUGGCCUUUCAUCAAGAGCUCCUUUCCCAACACUGAGGCUUUCCUUCUGCUGAGUCCCAGUUGCAAUUUUCUGUUCUGUAGAGGAGGAUCAAAGUUUUUCUGUCAUGCAAUCAGCCUGGUGACUGCCUGGCUCCAGUCCCACUCUGCCUUCCUUGGUCCCCUUCCUAAGUGGAACACACAAAGCACCUGGGCUUUGGCAACACCUUUGCCUGCUUCCUUUGACCCUUUUGGGGCCAUCUCCUUGCUCCACUGAGAGCAAAGCAGUGAUGCAAAGGGCCUGAUCUUCUUUCAGGUGCAUUUCAAGGUGAUGAGAUGCAAGCAACCAGCUCUGCAGGGUGGUGGCCAGCAGGGAACACUGGGACCCUCUGUUGCACUUCCAGCCCCAAAGGCUCCUAGAUUUCCAUGGGCUGGUGUCAGCAGUGUCCUGGUGAAGCCCUGCAGUGCUGCUGCAGUGCCAGGGCCGUGGAGGCUCCUACAGCCACACAGCCCCUUUUGCCCACAGGAGGUUUUCCUGCUGGGCUGAGCAGAGCUCUGGGACACUGCCCAUCAGUGGGCUGGAGCUGGGGGACAGUGCACUCUAUUACUGCACCCUGGAGGGUCCAGAGAGACACUUGGGGUGUGCCUGAACUCCAUCAGCUUCCUCCCCUCUGGCAUGUUCACGUGGGUCCCAGCCCAAGCAAGGGGACAGUCAGUGAGUGGGCUGUGCCUGGGGUCAGGGAAAUGGGGUCACACUGGUCCUGGGGGCUUGCAGAGAACAGGAGGAGAG